rnacentral:rRNA from 1 species
CUUGGCGACCAUAGCGUUUUGGACCCACCUGAUUCCAUUCCGAACUCAGAAGUGAAACGAAACAGCGUCGA